rnacentral:lncRNA from 1 species
AGGUAACAUCAUUAACUCAUGUGGUAUGAGUUUUUAGCAGCCCAGAUCAGUAAUUUUGUAUAACAAUCUGCCUGUGAACAGAAUGCUGAAUUGGCUAUCCACAAAGUGAUUCAUUUUACUUUAUUUCCAUAUUAGUACAUAAUUUAAAUCCUACCUAAAAAGUGUCUACCCAAACCCUAAAGAAUAAAAACAUGCAAAAUAAUGAAUGCUUCCCAAGUACACAAAAGUGCAAAAUCACAUUUAAUAAGAGCAACCAUUUCUAUUUUUAAAAUGUUAGAUGCUUAAGAAUUGGAUGAAAAUAAUUUAUGAGAGUAGAUUAUCCUUAAAGCCUUUUUUACACAUUGUAUUACAGCCACUACUAAGAGAUAAAGAACAAAAUUUUAUUUUGGAAGGCAGCAAUGCCACAAAUGCAAUACCAAAGGUCAUGAUUUUGAACUUUGAAAUUUACAAAAUGAAGUAGCCAAGAAUUUGGAAGUCUGAAUAUAAACUUAGGCUAGCUCAACUUUAGACUAUUUGCCUUGAAUGUGUAAGGUUCCACAUUCAAUCUUAGCAACAACCACAGUACACACACUAAUUAGUAUCACUAAUUAAAACAUUUAUUUUUAUUUUCUAUGUAGUGUUUUGCAUAUAUAUGUCUUUGUAUCACAUGUAUACCUGGUGCCCACAGAAACCAAAAAAGGAUAUCAAAUCCCCUAGAACUUGAGUUACAGACAACCUUGAGCCACUAUGUAGGUGCCAGAAAUUUAACCAACAUCUGAAAGAACAGCCUGUGCUCUUUAAUCGCUGAGCCAUCUCUCUAGUCCCAGAAUGUCACUAACUUUAAAUAAUAUUUAAAAUUCGACAAUCAUUCAUGCACCAAAUUAAUACUCAAUACCAGCAAAGCUGAAGACCAAUUUUAGUACAUUUGAUUUGCCAACAGACUCUAGUAGUCCUGAGUCUACACAGAGAAGUCAGACUGCAGAAGACUCUCUGCACACGACAGACUGAGAGUCACGUGUUGGCAGUUUUUGUUGGCAACAUUUAUCAUAGAAUGGAUGCUGUAAAUUGAAUGAAUACAUGAUUGUAAAUUGCAAAGGCAGCAUGUUUGCCUUUAAUAGCAUCAAGACAAGGACUCUUUAAUGGAAGGCAUUUGGAUCUGUCUUGCAAGAAGAGCAAUAAAGAGGACUAGAGAGAUGGCUCAGUAGUUGUGAGUACUGACUUCUCUUCCAGAGGUCCUGAGUUCAAUUCCCAGAAACCACAUAUUGGCUCACAACCAUCUGUAACCAUAUUAAAGUAUACUUAAUACAUUAAAUAAAGAAGAGCAAUAAAGUUUGACAUGUCUCAAGUGUAAUGAAUCAAGUAUGCUUUCU